rnacentral:pre_miRNA from 1 species
UUUUUAGUAUAUGUGUGUCCUAUGCAAUAUUUGGGACAAAUUUAUACUAAAA